ACAAAGUACAUCCUCUAUAGUCAUCAACUCUGUAUAAUUCAGCUCAAUUUUUAUGAGGUCAGCACUUAAUUGCUUUUGUAAAAUGUAUUUUAGUUACUGAGCUUAGUGUUGAUGUACUUGUAAUGUCUCCAUAAUCUGCUUACUAAUGUCAAUGAGUUCAGCAUUGAAACCGGCCUGCAUAGUCUUUGAGCUACAUGUAAGAUGAUGGCUACUCAUUUAAAAUAUAUGUUUAAAUCUGCCAGCAUAGACUUGAAUUAAGAUACAUAGUUCAGCGGAUAGCUGCUCAUGUAUAUUGUAUGUUAAAAUCUGCUUGCAUAGUCUUGAGUUAAGAUACAUAGUUCAGCGGAUAGCUGCUCAUGUAAAUUGUAUGUCAAAAGCUGCUUGCAUAGUCGAGAGUUAAGAUACAUGAGUUCAGCGGAUAGCUGCUCAUGUAAAUUGUAUGAUGAAAUCUGGCUUGCAUAGUCUUGAGUUAAGAUACAUGAGUUCAGCGGAUAGCUGCUCAUGUAAAUUGUAUGUUAAAAAUUCUGCCUGCAUUGUCUUGAGGUUAGAUAAAGACCUUCAUAAUUGGCUUCCCUUGAUACACAAUUGAACAGCUAACAGGUGAAUGUUAAUGUAUUUGUUGCAUCAGAUUUUGUUAUUUGUCAAGAACACCUAGUCUUAAAAGUAUGUGAUAUCAUAUGAACUUCGACUUCAAUGUUGUUAUAUAAAAUGCUGUAAAUUUCUGUAUUUUACUGUUUUUAUAAAAAAAAGUUUUCUUUUGAUUUUCUCCUUGUUUGGCGUCAACCCCUCACUGCGUGACACUGCGUGAGGGCUUGUGGCGCAAUUGUUUGGACGCCUCCAAGGAUUUACUCAUUUAUGUUAUAUUUUAUGCAUAUUUACAUGUACUCUGAUAUGUUCACUGCAUGUAAAUUUCUAGUCAGUCUCAGGGGGAUCACACUUGUACCUUUCACCUAUGUACAUGUAACCUGUAUUGUUUAAUAUUAGGUGAUCCCCCUUAAUGAUUUGUUUUACCUUUUACUUUAUGUCAUUGAAUUAAAUGACAUAUUCGACAAAACUGCA